rnacentral:lncRNA from 1 species
UGAAAUAUGCAUUCAUUUCCAACUUUUCUCCUAUCUCUGAUCUCUUCUCGAUACAUUAAACAAUGGCAGCAACAUCGAUCCACGACUUGCCAGAAGACUGUCUUGCUCACGUUAUCGCAUUCACGUCCCCUCACAAUGCAUGUGAAUCUUCAAUUGUAUCGACUAUGUUUCGCAAUUCAGUGGAAUCAGACCUUGUGUGGGACAAAUUCUUACCUUAUGAUUAUCGUGAUAUUAUUUCAAAGUUGGUUUCUCCUAUAGAAUUUUCUUCCAAAAAGGAUCUGUUUUUCAAACUUUCUACUCCUCUUCUCAUUGAUGGGGGUAACAAGGUAAGGGGAAAAAAUAAAAACAGCAUGCUCAUAAUAUAUCCUGAAAAUAAAUAAAAAUAUUUAAAUUAAUUUGUUCACAUGCAGACAUUUGCAAUCGAUAAAUUUACCAACAAGAAAUGCUACAUGUUGAGUGCAAGAGAAUUGUCAAUUUCUUGGGCAAGCAAUCAUCUUUGCUGGAGCUGGAAACCCCUUCUUCACUCAAGGUUUUUAUUUAAUUCUUUAAGUUGACAUUAAGAUUUUAAAUUUUUUACUAUAAAACAAUUGACUUUUUGGGUCGAAUAUAAUGAGGAGAAGAGCUAUAUAAAGUUGACUUCAAAUUUCUGAAAUUAAGGUAUCAUGCAGUUUUUUUCUAUAACAUCUAAAUCUUUGUUUUGGUUUUAUAUUCCAGAUUUUAUGAGGGAGCAGAGCUUGUAAUGGUAUCGUGGCUUGAGAUACAAGGCAAAGUCAACAGUCAAAUGUUAUCGAAAAAUACAACAUAUGGAGCCUACCUUAUUGUUAAACUUGCCCGUCGUGCAUUUGGAUUAGAUUUACUACCAUCAGAGGUUUCAAUAGAAAUUGGUGAUUACAAAUCUAUUGGAACAACUUAUUUAAGGGACCAUGCAAGUAAAAAGCAAAAACUGGAGCAUGACUAUAUGCAACACAAGAUUGAUGGGUCAAGAUCAGGAGUUUGUGAAGCAGAAGAACACGUUGUUCAUAUACGGGAAGAUGGAUGGUUAGAAGUCGAAUUGGGUGAAUUCUAUUGUGAUGGUAAAGACAAAGAGGUGAAAAUGAGCUUCAAAGAGGUCGAAGGUGAGCACCUCAAAGGGGGACUUCUUGUUGAAGGCAUUGAGCUUAGACCUAAGGACUAAAUGCUAUACCAAUUGAAAUGUAAAUAGGAAAAUCUUGCUUGGACUCUUUUAACAUCUUCUUAUCUGUUGGCUUGUGGGAAAUUCUUUGUAUGAAUCAUUAAUUCAAUUUAUUUUUUAAUUUCUAUUUAUGAAUCAAUGUAAAUAUACACAAUUUGACCAGAAGGCCUCAAGGCCCUUGUCAGUCGAGAUAACAUCAAUAUGAGCAUUGCUAAGCAUAAGAAUUGUUGAAAAAUUGAUGCAUAAUUCUAUUCCUUUUCAAAUGAAAC